AGGAAUGAUUCUGCGGGCAGUCUGCCAGAUUGGCAAUUUGAAACGCACUGUCUGUGACGGCUGCUGAGGCUGCUGCGGGGGAGUGAAGGGCUGUCAUGACGAUGACCCCUGGAGUUAAAUCUCAUCAGGAUCCAUAAUUCUGUGAAACACUGAAAGUUAAGGAUUGCUGUACGCAAUGCUUGCCACAGCUUCCAACUAGGAGCAAGUCUCUUCUAUCUUCGGUCUGCUUCUGUGAUCAAUAUCACUGUCGUUAUCCCAGAAUCCCUGAAAAGGUGGUUACAGCUGUUAUAACAAGUAAACCCGCAAAUGUAUCAGUGGGAAACCAUAGAAAUCCAUUGGUUGUCCUUCUGAUGGUCAUUCCAGGUAAGAGGGUUGCUCAGCUCUGAGCGAUUCAUAGAUUCCCAUCUCCCUCUGUCCUGAGGCUUCAGCCUCAACUACUUCUCAGGUGCCAAGCUGGCAGAAGGGUGUAGAGGAGGCAAGACUGAUUGGUCUUCAAGUCGAACACAGUACUACCCAAGCUACUGUGUACUUGCCACAUGUGGCUGCAAAGAUCCCCAUCCCUGGAUGGCCACCUCCUGAAUGCAACUCUAUUACUGAGAAGGUGAUGCUCAUAGCAGCACAAGAGAAAUUAUCCCCAAGCACAAAAAAUCUAUAUAUUUUCUACGAUAACCUAAGAAAAGGACAUCUCCAGAAGACUGAUCUUUCCACAGGCUCACUCAGCUUGAUGGAGAUUAGAAGCGCUCUUCCUUGUGCUUUGCCAUGAAUAUUUGGGAUGCUUUGCUCACUGAGUUUUAGAAAAACUUUUCAGAUUUAUUUCAGUGUAUUUACUUAAAGGAAAAUACCUGUUGGUUGUAAAGAAAAUAUCAAGGAUGGUAAGCAACUUCUAAAAUAACAGUUCUGAAAACAACCUUGAAAGUAGAGUCACAGGCUGUCCGUCGAGGUCACUCUUUUCUUAUACCUGAAGUAUCAAGACUCUUGGCACGGACCUUUCCCUAGAAAAUGGACUUGGUGCUGUGUGCUUUCUGAUGGUGGCUCUCUUCAAAUGGUGAAUAAUGAAACACAGCAUCAAGUGUGGAAAUACGGUGGGGAUAUUUGCAGUGAUAAGCUGACUUCAUCUGUCGUACAGCACUGUUCUAUCAACAGGCACACAGUGUGGCAGCAGCCUGAUUCCCUAGAGCAGAGUCGGUUUCUGCCCCAGGUCCUGCCUUCUAUACAGUGUAUAUCUGACAGGGUUUACAGAGCACUGGAAACAAAACAAAGCCCCUCUGAGACUCCUGCUGAUUCUCAGUCAAAACCCCAAAUACAGUCAAUGUCUCCUAAUGGUCUCUGUGGCUGAAAAGAAAGAGCUGAGCUUUUUAUAAAGUGAAACUUCAAAAAAAUAAAAAUAAAAUAAAGUAAAACUUCUGUGCAGGCAGCAAAUGUCCUAGAAACAAGUCUCUGAGUCUUUAAAUUGCCCAAUGAGACACCAACAAAGAUUCUCAAGAAAUCUCAAUAGUGGAACUAUGCAAAAAAAAUUGACUUUUUAAAGUCAUGAAAUUAGAAUUACAGAAGUACUGUGCUUUAAGUUCCAUAAAGCUGAAAAUAAAUGUAUGCAUUUGAAACUAUUUUCUAUUAAAAUCAGUUUCAUUUUGCCUUUUUGUGUUGUUUGGUUGGUUGGUUUUGGUUUUGGUUUUUGGUUGGUUUUUUUUGAGACAAGGUUUCUCUGUGUCAGGAACUCACUCUGUAGACCAGGCUGGCCUUGAAUUCAGAGAUCUCCCUGCCUCUGCCUCCACAGUGCUGGGAUUAAAGGCAUGUGCCACUAUGACUGGUUUUUUCAACCCCUUUUUCUCCCUCUAUUUUUAAAUCCAAUGAAGAAAUUUUUCAUAAAAAUAUUUGCAAUAGAAUUUAAUUUUUCUUCUAAAUGCAAAGUUUUAGGCUUCCAUUGUAAUCUAGAUAGCCUCAUUUGCAAAAAUCCAAGUUUGUAAAUAUUGUAGUCUUAACAUUUUAUUUCUAAUAAAAAAUAUUCACUAUGUUUUUCUACAAUUGGGUGUUUCCAUUGUUCAUUUUAAUUAACCUUGAAAAAUAAACAACACAUUUCCAUUUUCCUUCAUUGAGAAAAAGAAUUCUGGGUAAUAUCAAUGAGUUGUUAAAAUUUAAUCUGGGCAGGAUUCCCACCCCAUUCCCAGAGCUGACCUUUGCUAUUCUGUAGUUAUAGCAACAAGAAGACUUCCUUCUGUCUGUCUGCUGUAUUCUCUUUCCAAAGUAAUGACAGCCUUUUAUAUACUGUUGUGUAAUAUGGAGAAUGGUUUACAUUCUUCGAUUUCUUGAUUCAUUGAUGCAUUUAGCUAAACCAGCAGUUUACAUGCAGAUUUAAAAAAAAAUACAAUCAAUUGAAGUGGAGUUGCCAUGGUACACAUAGUAUACAUGGAAUCUGGAUCAUUCUUUUAAGUAUUGUUUCAUAUCAUCUUCAAGCUUCCUUAAUCAACUUGCAGUCUAACGUCUCAAUAAUCAAGUUGGCUUGUCCUAUCAUUAUAUCUUAAUCUAAGCGUCCAGAGAGGAAAAGACAUAAAACAAACAGGAUCCUUUAUAGGGUAGUCAUCUCAUGUAAGAAUACAGAACUGAGCUGCUAAAUUAGGCCUUAUGGUUUUCCUCUGACCUUGGGUAUUUUAAGUCUCAUUUUACCAGCCUGAAAUAUCACUUUAAUUAUAGUAAUUACCUAUCUCACAGGGUUUGUGAGGCUUAAUUAAUGUUGGCAAAGUGUUAAAGCUAUUUAGUAGAACAGUACUAUGGAAGCAAACUACCUGAAAAUACAGCCUCCCACCUUUCAGAGUUCUUCAUUCUACACUCCUUUUCUUUGUUUCUUCAGCAUGAACAUCGCACUUGCUCCUUUUUGGAAACUUUCACUUCUAUAUUGUGGUCUUUUCUUCUUGGAAUUUACCUUAGAUGAAAAUGUUCCUGAAUCAGACAGGCUAGGAACUAAGCGUCGUCCUCUCUAUUAAGGAGACAUCACAUUCCUCUGUUCGGUCAAAAUCAUAAAUUUCCAGUCAAUAAUUGUGAAUUUUGUUCUCAAAAUAUCCUUUGUUUGGAGCCAACAAGGAGUCCAAAACUGGUAGAUCUGCUUGCUCCAUUCUGGAAAUGGUACCUGGGGCCACUUCUAAUAAAGCAGCCUCAAGUUUACCCGCAUUUUUGGUACUCUUUACUACUUAACACCUGUCCAUCUAUAUCUAUGUCUAGGCACUAGAAUUUGUAACUCAGGAUCUGUGUACAUUUGCACUGCCUGCUCAUUGCAUAGCAGUGCCUGGCUGGAUGGAGCAGUGGUGGCUCACAUCCAGCCACUAGUUCUCCUAGCCAUGCCAUGUUCUUGUGGGUCUAAUUUCCACAAAGGUAUUAAACAGAGACCAGAAAUGACUUAGCUAGUAACCCAAGUUAAUUAGUAGUGGAAAGUAAUCACACCCACACUUACUAGUAUUAAAAAUAGCAUCUCAUCUUUGAAAUCAUAUCCUAUAGGAAUAUAUCUAGGGUAAGAUUAAAAUCAUGUGCUACUAUAUCUUUGCCCACUUCAGCCAAAACACAUUACAUCAUGUAUCCCAAUUUCAAAUAGAAUGUAAAUGGUAUAAAAUUCUCAGUUGUAUUAAUUUAUUGCUGCUAAGGUAGGGGCUAUAUGUAAUUUGGAAUGUGAAAAAUAAUAACUUAAAACAGGAACACAGAUUGAGUAGUCAUAGUAACGUAGUUUUUCAUUGGAAUAAUCAUUCUUUGAAAGAGAAUCCAUUGGUCACAGCCCAGUCUCUGUGUCCAUUGCUAAAACUUUGCAACAGUACCUUUGCUUGAAGCAGUGUUUCUUCCUGUUUGUAACUUGCCUCACUUGAGUUGCAUGAUGACAAGAUAGCUUUCCAUUUGGAAUGUUUCUAUUUUUAAAAACUUUUAUACCUGCGAACUUUGGGCCACACUAAUGAAAAGCAAGCACCUCUGCUUUCCAGUGGUAGCACUGACUGACUUACCCACCUUUCUGCACUAAGUUUCAAGAGUUCAAAAUUUGAAUAGUGCCAACAAGAACUCUAUCUAUAUGCUUUGCUGUCCAGUACUCUUCUUGGAGAAGUCCAGAUGUGAAAGUUUUUUAGUAAAUUUAUUCUCCAACUACAGACAGAGGCUGUCAGAAUGCUGCUGAACCUAUGACAGAGACUUAUCCUAACUGGUUGAAGUUAUGAGUACAGAGUAGAGCUGGCUCCAGGCAAGGGGUAGUCAUGGCUUACCAAUGUUAUGAUUGACAUGAUUCCUCCUGUGUCCUACUGAGUCAUCCCAUCACCUUGACUCCUCUAUCAGAAUAUUUUCUUCCUAGUCACCACUGAGCCAGGCUUGGGCAUCAUACUCAGACAUAAGGCUAUUUGAGGAAAUAGAAAGGCUUUGUUAUGUGUCUUAAUAUUUAGCAUGAAAAAAUUGCCAAGAAGCACUACUGAUGAACUCCUCCGAGUUAAAAUUAGACCACAUGUCCACAUAUUAAACCAACCACUCUCAAAGACAAUGAGACUGGCAUUCUAAACUUGUGUCAUUUAUGGGACUAAAGAUGGGAUCCUCCCUAAGAAUGUGACAGGGUUGAGGACAGGAACCAUGUUACUGUUAAUGUCCAAGGAGAUUCUAGGAGAGUCAUUGCUGUAGGUUAGACAAAUAUCACUGUUUGCUGCCUUGUGUAACUUGACUAUUCCUUAAUUUCUACUACCGUAGAAAGUCUACCCAGAUUUGUGCUUCCCAAAUCAUACCAAAUUAUGUAUAAGAGGAAGUAAGUUUGAAUUAAUAAGAGUCAGUUCUUCAUUGUAAGCAAAUUAGUGGAUUAUAAUAUCACAUAUUAAUGCCUGUAAAUGGAGUUUGUUUUUAGUGGCAUGGCAUUCUGGGGAGUUUUGAUUUCUCUACUAACCUUUAUUGAGUCCUAUCUGCAUUUAUUAUCAUGAGGCCUUCUGUACUGUCUUAUACAAAUCAUGGACUGAUCUGCUGAGGGUCUGAAGUAUAAGGGAUAUGAGAUAAAAUUCUCCAGAUGUGAAGAGAAAGAAAGAAGAAUGGAAAAGUUGAAGGAAAUUAAGAGAAAUCAUAAAAUUUUAGCAGCAUAACACAUCUAGUUCCAUGCUUUGGUCCAUUUUGAAUAUUUUUCCAUAAUGCCUUCUGCUGGCCCUCAAAUCUCAUGCCCUAACAAAAUUGCAAAGUAUCAUAAGCAAAGUAAAUAGCCAGUCUUUAAGUUUUCAAGUUGAUCCCCAAACUGACUCAAAUUUGCAAAAAUUUGGCAUAAUUUAAAAGUAAAUAAAUAGAAGCAACGCUUAACAGAAGGUUCCUAACAUAAACAAAGCUGUGCACGUUUUAUUUAUUUAUGGGAUCCUGCAAAGUGUCAUAUUCACUUAAAAAUAGUCAGCAUGAGAGUGAUUGAUUUUUAAAAAUUGAAUAGAGUUCAGUAAUAUGAGCAUUUUAAAAAUUAAAUAGUUUGGUAAGGGGAAAGGCUUUUUGGAUAAUAUUGUACUUUAGACAACAUUUGUCUAUUCAGAGUUUUUUAAAGGUUGACUGUGAGAAAAUAGCCACUGUUUUUGCUGUUGUAGUUUUACCAAAAGUGCUUUUGAAUUGGAAUUGUAAAGAAUCUUACCACACAUAGAGCACUUGUAUGUCUCUUGAGAAUGGGUGUUAAA